UUGCACUAUCUUGCUUUCAGCUGGAUCUUCUUAAAGAAUCCGAAGCUGCAUUAUGUCCUGCUAAUGAGCCAGGUGCAGAGAUUCCAAAUGGUGCAGCCGGUCAUUACCUUCUAGGGCUUAUUUACAGGUACACUGAUAGAAGGAAAAGUGUUGCAUGUACAUCAUUUUAAGCAGGCAUUAUCAGUAGAUCCUUUAAUGUGGGCUGCAUAUGAGGAGCUGUGUGUAUUAGG